rnacentral:rRNA from 1 species
UACGGAGGAUCCAAGCGUUAUCCGGAUUUAUUGGGUUUAAAGGGUCCGUAGGCGGGCCUGUAAGUCAGUGGUGAAAUCUCAUAGCUCAACUAUGAAACUGCCAUUGAUACUGCAGGCCUUGAGUAAGGUAGAAGUGGCUGGAAUAAGUAGUGUAGCGGUGAAAUGCAUAGAUAUUACUUAGAACACCAAUUGCGAAGGCAGGUCACUAUGUCUUAACUGACGCUGAUGGACGAAAGCGUGGGGAGCGAACAGG